rnacentral:piRNA from 1 species
UUUUUUAUAGAGAUAUGUCCA